rnacentral:rRNA from 1 species
GACGAACGCUGGCGGCGCGCCUAACACAUGCAAGUCGAACGGAGCUGAGAGAAGCUUGCUUUUCUUAGCUUAGUGGCGAACGGGUGAGUAACGCGUGAGUAACCUGCCCUGGAGUGGGGGACAACAGUUGGAAACGACUGCUAAUACCGCAUAAGCCCACGAUCCGGCAUCGGAUUGAGGGAAAAGGAUUUAUUCGCUUCAGGAUGGACUCGCGUCCAAUUAGCUAGUUGGUGAGGUAACGGCCCACCAAGGCGACGAUUGGUAGCCGGACUGAGAGGUUGAACGGCCACAUUGGGGCUGAGACACGGCCCAGACUCCUACGGGAGGCAGCAGUGGGGGAUAUUGCACAAUGGGGGAAAUCCUGAUGCAGCGACGCCGCGUGGAGGAAGAAGGUUUUCGGAUUGUAAACUCCUGUCGUUAGGGACGAUAAUGACGGUACCUAACAAGAAAGCACCGGCUAACUACGUG